rnacentral:rRNA from 1 species
UACGGGGGGGGUAAGCGUUGUUCGGAAUUACUGGGCGUAAAGGGCUCGUAGGCGGCCCACUAAGUCGGACGUGAAAUCCCUCAGCUUAACUGGGGAACUGCGUCCGAUACUGGAUGGCUUGGAUUUGGGAGAGGGAUGCGGAAUUCCAGGUGUAGCGGUGAAAUGCGUAGAUAUCUGGAGGAACACCGGUGGCGAAGGCGGCAUCCUGGACCAAUAUUGACGCUGAGGAGCGAAAGCCAGGGGAGCAAACGGG